rnacentral:rRNA from 1 species
UACGGAGGGUGCAAGCGUUAUCCGGAUUCACUGGGUUUAAAGGGUGCGUAGGUGGGCAGGUAAGUCAGUGGUGAAAUCUCCGGGCUUAACUUGGAAACUGCCGUUGAUACUAUCAUUCUUGAAUAUCGUGGAGGUAAGCGGAAUAUGUCAUGUAGCGGUGAUAUGCUUAGAUAUGACAUAGAACACCGAUUGCGAAGGCAGCUUGCUACACGAUCAUUGACACUGAGGCACGAAAGCGUGGGGAUCAAACAGG